AAACACCCAACAGCAUAAUCCAGCGCACCAAUGACUACCAAAAGGCUGAAAAGAUGCUGCAGCGUGUGCGCGGCACAGCUGAUGUUCAAGCAGAACUCGAUGAUCUCAUCAGAGCAGGCUCUGUUUCAAAAAACAUUAACCACCCAUUUAAGAAAAUCAUACAAAGAAAAUACAGACCUCAGCUAGUAAUGGCAAUACUGAUACCAUUUUUUCAACAAGUGACAGGAGUCAAUAUCAUUUCAUUCUAUGCUCCUGUACUCUUUAGGACCAUUAAGCUAAGCGAAAAUACAUCAUUACUGAUGUCUGCACUUGUCACUGGUGGUAUAGGUACAGUUUCAGCAAUCUUGCCAAUGAUUCUAGCAGAUAAACUUGGCAGGAAAGUAUUGUUUCUACUUGGGGGAAUACAGAUGCUAGUGUCACAAGUAAUGAUUGGAUCAAUCAUGGCAGCUCAACUUGGUGAUCACGGAGGAUUCAGCAUAGGCUAUGCUUACUUAAUUUUGGUUCUAAUUUGUGUAUACAAAGCUGGGUUUGGUUUUUCAUGGGGGCCAUUGGGAUGGUUGGUUCCAAGUGAAAUUUUUCCAUUGGAGAUUAGAUCAGCAGGGCAAAGCAUUACUGUUGCUGUUGGUCUUUUGUUUACUUCCUUAGUUGCUCAAACAUUUUUAGCCAUGCUUUGCCAUUUUAAGGCGGGGGUUUUCUUCUUCUUUGGAGGAUGGCUGACAGUGAUGACUACAUUUGUGCACUUUUUUCUGCCUGAGACUAAAAAUGUUCCAAUUGAGCUGAUGGAUAAAGUUUGGAGAGAGCAUUGGUUUUGGAGGAAAUUUUUUGAUGAUGUAGGGGAAGAAAGUAAGAUACAAGGAGCGGUAUGAUACAAAUUUUAAUGAAGGUUUGGAAGUACUUACAAGUGAUUAGCUAAAUUUUUAACAGUUGUGUAUUUACUUCUAGUGUAGAUACACCUGAAGUACUUUCAGAGAAAAUCAGAAGGGACUGUUACGCCAACAGGUACUAUAGUAGAGCUACUUGAAAACGGAGAAUAAAACGAAGAAAAUGCAGAAAGAAACUUCUUUUUGAGACAUAACUAUGAUUACUGCUGUAGCAAAUCUUGAGAUCUUCCAUAAUUCAGUAGUGUUAAAGUUGUUAUGGUAUUAUUGGUAUUAUCUCGGAAUGCUUCCAUAUAAAUUACGUGUGUCCUCUACAGCUCUUCUUGAAGCCGUUAUUUGCCAAUUUCAACCUGCACUCCCAGACUUCUCAGUUCCCACCAAUAAUUAUUCACUCUUUCAGCCAUGAUGCAUUCUCAAAACGAAUAAACAAUGGUUUCUCGAGAACACUUGUAAAUAAAAUCCCUUUUAUAAAAAUAUCUUAAUUUUAUUAAAAUAUUAUAAAAGAAAAUAAAUACUUAUUUGAAUAGCGUGCAGAGGGAGCAUUGGUUUUGUGGGGUAGUGGAUGACUUGAGUUAUUAAUCUUAGCUUAAUAUGGCAAAUAUUUGCAGGGCAAACAUCAGAGAAAAAUGUUACCAUUUCAUUGAUAAUGCUUGAAAAAACGAAAUGGCGAAUACAAAAGUAGUUUGUAUAUGCAUACAAAUAGGGCAAGCUGUAAGAUAAGAUCGGCUCACUAAAUUCAGCCUCUGCUGGCACAAAUCCAGCCGUCAGUUAUCAUCUAGGAUUCUCUCCUAUGCAUAUGCUGAUUGCUGAGGCUGCUCUGUGCAGUUGUUUGGCCAUGUCACUGUUGCCACUUCGCUUGCUGACUUAUUUUGCUUCACAGAUACUGCGGCUUCCUCGGCAUGUUAACUGUAUUAUUAUUAAGUGUGCUUCUUGGUUAGUAUGUGUUGAUUCUUCACAGCAGCUAUUAUUAUCAAUAUGAUAUUUAUAAAGUAAUUAUUCAAUCAAGAAAUCUUUUAUUUUUGUGAAGUGAAAAAUAAAUUAAAAAAAAAAAAGAAAGGCAAGGACUAUAUAUAUUCAAAAAUUAACUUUAUUAAGCGGCAUGGCUUAGAAGUAUGUUUGCAUGAAAAAAAAAAUGACUUGCAUAUAUGGAGUCCUUUUGUAGUGCGAGCGACCUCUUUUUUUUUUCAUGUGAACAUGUUAUAAGAUUCCAAUUAAGAGAGUUAAUUUUUAAUACUAUUAAAUUGUAGAGCUUUAUAUUUCAUUCAAAAAUAAUCCCGUUAAACCCCAUAGCCUAAAGUGUAUCCACAUUAAAAAAAAAAAAAGAACACGUCCGCACAUGAGAAUGACUGUAUAUUUAUUGGUGAAUGACUGUAUAUUUAUUGGUAUUCAAGUUUUAAUAUUUAUGCUAUGAAUUCUGUUAUUUUGACUACUAAUUGCAAAUUUUGGGGCUUUAAGCAAAAUCAAACAGACGGCACACCAACUUUGACUUGUCAAUUCAUCAUAGUUGAUUAUUUUGUAAGAGAUUCUGCACUUGAAAAGCUGGUGAUUCUACUUGACUUCGAAAGCUCAAUAACUAAAUAUUUGGUAACACUCGCUAUUCUAAUCUUUUGAUAAUUAGCAAGUGACUCUUCUUCCAGAGUAGUAGUACACAACACCUCAAUUGAUGGCUAUAGGCGCAAAGCAUUGAUAUUUCAGGGUUAUUGAUCCAAUAUUUUAUACUUAUAAUGGAUUUUGUUGAUGCCGAAAAACGACAUCAAUGGCUGAAUUUGUUUCUUUUGAGGAAUUACAGUGUGAAUCCAAGCUCAAACGCAAGUCUGAUCGCAACUUUCUAUAUCUGCCAACCAGAAAACAUGGUUAGGACACGCCGGUGGGAUUCCGGCGUAGACCCUCCGAUGCUUAAGUAAGAAAUUAUGUAUAAAAUGAGAAAAAUGAGAAUGAAGAAUUAUGAAUGAGUUAAAGUCAAGUAAUUUUCCGGUAGAGGGGCUGAACAUCUUGUAGAAGCUUUGGUUGAUUUUGCUAACCCUUUCACCUGAUGCGCUCUUCAAUUUAAAUAGACUCUUGGUCGUGUACGGUUACCUCCUUAAUUUCAGCCCGCUUUCUUCAACAGUUGCAAGUGGUUGUCAGUUGGAGAUGGUUUAAAUAGAUCGUGACACACAACUUCCCUAUAAAUUAGGUCACGUUCUCUUAACUAGCAAUUUUUCAUGUCAAGCUAAUUCUCAGGUCGGAUUACUUCACUUUCAGAUCAUACAGAUGAAUUUCUCAGUCGCUCAUAUAGCGUUGAGAUUGUAUUCUUAAAUUAGGUCAUUCACAUAGAUCUUAGGUCAUACUUGUAAAUCAGGUCGCCAACAUAGGCUCCAGGUUGUACUUAUGAGGUCAGUUCAACAACCAGAGGUGGCAAAAAUACCCGCCAAGUCCAGAUCAGGACCGUACCCAGGUGUUCUGGGCCGGGUAUGAAGCGGGGUCGGUCUUGGGCAUCACUUGAUAAAUCCGGAACCCGAAUUUUAUUAAAAAAAUAUUAUAAAAUAUACAUUAUUUUAAAUAUUUAUAUUUAUUUGACUCAUUUGUUAUACAUAUAUAAAGUUUUAAACACUUAAAGUUUAUAUUUUCAUGUCAAAUUUUAUUGAAAUAAAUUUAAAACUUAUAAAAUUACUAAAAAAUAAAAAAUAUAUACACAUAUAAUAUUAAAAAAUAUAAAAUUCGGGUACCCGGAUUAAAACCCGGCCCGGACCCGGACCCGGACCAGUUGCAUCCAGGCAGGGUCCGGUCAUUACAAUACCUGGACCCGGCCUGAGGUUUUGCCAUCCCUAUCAACAACAAUAAGUUCUGAAUAGAUUAGGAUCGACUAUAUUUUGAGACACUACCAGAAAAAUCCAACCCAAACAGAUUUCCCGAAGCACUACAUCUUGAAUUUUCCAAUGAGUUACUCAGCAGCUGCUAUUUCUAUCUUGACUCCGUACGCUUUCACAAAAAUUAGUUCUUCAAUAAUCAACAACCCCACGCAUAUAUUGCCACGUGUUUUUAUUUUCUUAAUUUGUUUAUUUAUUUAUCAAGGCACGUACAUUAGUGAAAUGUGAACACGGACCUUGGCCUCAAAGCACACGCUGCCAUGUUGAUCAUAACUCCAAAGGCCAUGCAUGACUCACGAUGCUGAUAUUAGUGUAUACGGCUACAAGUCAAGAAAGACUGCAGCUACUUUUAAGCCUUCGCCUUCUGCAAUUAAUCUUCAACACACACACACACCGCUGUCUCUUUUCUCUUCUUUAUAUAAGUUGCUAUAAUCAGUCCUGCUUAUCAGUUUUGAAGAUUCAGUUUAGCUAUCCGCAGUCGAUAUGGCAGCAGGCUUUGCAAUAACUAGUGAAGGUGGGCAGUAUUACAAUGGGAAGAUGACUGCAUUUGUUGUCUUGUCUUGUAUUGUUGCUGCCACUGGAGGUCUUAUUUUCGGCUAUGAUAUUGGAAUUUCAGGUCUGUUUAUCUACUUAAAUUGUAUUUGUAUAUCUCUUUGUUCCUCAGCUCGAAAUUUAUUGAUUGGUUAAAUUCUCCAAUUUCUUCUUGUCGCUUCAUUCUAUCAAGCCCAUCACUGAUCUUGGAUUAACGUAUACAUAGCUAGUGGAAUGUUUUUAGAAAAUCAACCAAACUUUUGAAAAUCUUUAUCCUAUGUGCCAAGUAAAAGUGCAUGUUAAUUAUCAAAUAUUUUAGCUAUCUAGUGACUUACGAUUAGUAUUUACUAAACACUUUAGUUCGAUUGCUUAUAAAAUUAAACCGAAUUAUAACAGUUAGAAACAUAUUUGAGUUUAACAUACAUGUUCAAAAUAUACAGUAAACUGAUAUAUAUAUAUAGUGCGUAAGUCCAUCUUGUGAAAUGCAGGUUUCAGGCAGGCAAAAUAAUAAAACGUUACAAACUUCCAUGCACUGUAAAGACAAAAAUAUUGUAUUAGAGUUCAUAGUUUUUUUUUUUUUAACAAUCAUUUUGUAGAUAACUAAUGGCAAUUAACUUGCAGAAAUUAAUACGUAUCUCUUUGCUUGAGAAUUAUUAAUUACAAUCUUUCAAGGUAUGUUAUUAAUUAUACCAUAGGAGUCAAUGAAUCCUUUGGUCUCACAUGGCGUGCUUUGGCAUGAUAACUGAUAGUGACGGAUUUGACGAAAAAUGCUAUGAUUAAUAAUAGAUUGCCAAUUAAUUUGUGUGGACAGAUUUCAAUGUAACUUAAGAAGUGUUGAACUACGAUGUGAAACUUUGUAAUUUCAAAGCACCCAAAAGUUUGAAUUUUUCUCACGCGAGUCAUUGUUUUUCGUAAUUAAUAAUGAAUAAACCAAACGUUUCGAAAAUAUUAUAGUUUAAUCCUUUCUAAUAACAUUUUGCAGUCUUUGAGUCUUGACUAAGCCUUUCUGUAUGGUUAGUAAGAGCCGAUUUAAAUUCUCAAACGAAACUUAAAAAUUUAAUUGUGUAUAUUUAUGCUAAGGUGGAGUGACAUCAAUGGAGCCAUUUUUGAAGAAAUUCUUCCCAGAAGUGUACAGAAAAAUGAAAGAAGACACCAACAUUAGCAAUUACUGCAGGUUUGACAGCCAACUAUUAACCACCUUCACGUCCUCUCUAUACAUUGCUGGCCUUAUUGCCUCCUUAUUUGCCUCCUCAGUCACCAGAGCCUUCGGCCGCAAGGCAUCAAUUCUUGUCGGCGGCACAGCUUUUCUUGCUGGUUCAGCCCUCGGAGGCGCUGCAUUUAACAUUUACAUGCUUAUAUUUGGGCGGGUGUUGCUUGGCGUUGGCAUUGGUUUUGCAAACCAAGUAAGUGUUUGGUUAUUUUAUUUUUUCCAAGCAUUUGAUUUGCUCAACAAUUUUCAAUUGGUUUUAAUUUGCUGGUUGCAGUCAGUGCCACUGUAUCUCUCAGAAAUGGCACCACCAAAAAACAGAGGAGCGUUCAACAUUGGCUUCCAAGUAUGUGUUGCCAUUGGUGUCCUAUCCGCUAAUCUUCUCAAUUACGGCACCCAAAAGAUCAAGGGGGGCUGGGGCUGGAGAAUCUCCCUGGCAAUGGCUGCUGCUCCUGCAUCAAUAUUAACAAUAGGUGCACUUUUCCUGCCAGAAACACCCAACAGCAUAAUCCAGCGCAGCAAUGACCACCAAAAGGCUGAAAGGAUGCUGCAGCGUGUGCGUGGCACAGCUGAUGUUCAAGCAGAACUCGAUGAUCUCAUCAGAGCAGGCUCUGUUUCAAAAAACAUUAACCACCCAUUUAAGAAAAUCAUACAAAGAAAAUACAGACCUCAGCUAGUAAUGGCAAUACUGAUACCAUUUUUUCAACAAGUGACAGGAGUCAAUAUCAUUUCAUUCUAUGCUCCUGUACUCUUUAGGACCAUUAAGCUAAGCGAAAAUACAUCAUUACUGAUGUCUGCACUUGUCACUG
rnacentral:lncRNA from 1 species